UUUGAUCAUGGCUCAGGACGAACGUGGCGGCGUGCUUAACACAUGCAAGUCGAACGGAAAGGCUUCGGGGUACUCGAGUGGCGAACGGGUGAGUAACACGUGGGUGAUCUGCCCUGCACUUUGGGAUAAGCCUGGGAAACUGGGUCUAAUACCGAAUAUGACUGCAUUCUUCAUGGGGUGUGGUGGAAAGCUUUUGCGGUGUGGGAUGGGCCCGCGGCCUAUCAGCUUGUUGGUGGGGUAAUGGCCUACCAAGGCGACGACGGGUAGCCGGCCUGAGAGGGUGACCGGCCACACUGGGACUGAGAUACGGCCCAGACUCUACGGGAGGCAGCAGUGGGGAAUAUUGCACAAUGGGCGCAAGCCUGAUGCAGCGACGCCGCGUGAGGGAUGACGGCCUUCGGGUUGUAAACCUCUUUCAGCACAGACGAAGCGCAAGUGACGGUAUGUGCAGAAGAAGGACCGGCCAACUACGUGCCAGCAGCCGCGGUAAUACGUAGGGUCCGAGCGUUGUCCGGAAUUACUGGGCGUAAAGAGCUCGUAGGUGGUUUGUCGCGUUGUUCGUGAAAACUCACAGCUUAACUGUGGGCGUGCGGGCGAUACGGGCAGACUUGAGUACUGCAGGGGAGACUGGAAUUCCUGGUGUAGCGGUGGAAUGCGCAGAUAUCAGGAGGAACACCGGUGGCNAGGCGGGUCUGUGGGCAGUAA
rnacentral:rRNA from 1 species